UAUAAGUUUAGUAUACCACAUGUAUAUAUACAUAAGUAGGCCUCAGUUUUUUUUAUGGACCGAGUCUAGCCCAACAAGGGCCAGACUCGGCCCAUUCCUCUUUGAUAAAAAACCCUCGCCUCAACUCCUAAACAGGCCCUUUGGCAUUUUUGCUUCUUCAACUAGGGUUUGCCACCGCCAUGUUACCCCCCCCCCCCUCUCUCUCUCUCUCUCUCUCUUCAUCGUCAUCAUCGAUGAAAGUAGUAAGUUUUCAGGCGAAGAACCUUUUUGCCAAGUUGUGUUUAACCAUUUGAGGCAAAGGCAUUAAAUGCCUUCACCUACUAUCCUUUCCCCUACCGAGAAACCACCACGAAAACGGUAAAAUCUCUUUUCCCUCUUACUUUUUAAUUUCUUUUAGUUUUACAGGUACAAAUCCAUUAAUGGGAUUUGUCUCUACCCAUUUGAAUCUCGAUCUCUCAUUGGCUCAUCAAGGUUCAACUGGAUUGAUCGAUAAAAGGGUAAAUCUGACCCUUCAUAUAUCGAUUACCUUGAAUCCUAGCCAUUGCAUAUUGAUAUAUAGGAGAAUUUCUCAGAUUUUGAGAAGUCCCACAUCGUUUAGAUAUUAGGGUUUCUCAGAUUUUGGGUUCUAUAAAUAGAACCCUCAAAUUUACAUUUUUGAAGGGAUCGAAUAUCAGAUAUUCACAUAAAAACUCGGAGCACUUAAGUUUUUUUUUUUGCAUAUUUGCUUUUAAACUUUAAUUUUCCUGAGUUAAGUUAAAAUUUCUUAAAUAUUUUCUCUUUUGUUCGUGUGGCUGAGUUGUAGGUGAAGGAGUUUGAAGAAUCUUCAAGUCCAAUACUCGAUUGAGGCUGCACACGAGAAAGUCAACAUAUUUACCCUUCUUCUUUAUUAAUUUAUUUGAGGCACAACACUUUUCUUUGAUCGAGUCCGGGAGAUAGAAAGGGAAGCAAAUAUGAUGAAGGCCCAUCCAUGGGUGAAAAUGGAGGCUGGCGGGUUUGGUAGGCCCACCAGCUUAAUUUUCUUCCUUUUCAUUUAUGUUUAUAUGUUAUCUAUGUAUAUGUAUUGUAUAUGUAAACAUAUUGUAUAUGUAAACAAACUAUGUGAAAUAUUGAAACCCUUAUAUAUGUUAGAA